rnacentral:rRNA from 1 species
UACGGAAGGUCCGGGCGUUAUCCGGAUUUAUUGGGUUUAAAGGGAGCGUAGGCCGGCUUUUAAGUCAGCUGUGAAAGUCCGCGGCUCAACCGUGGAAUUGCAGUUGAAACUGGAGGCCUUGAGUGCACACAGGGGUGCCGGAAUUCAUGGUGUAGCGGUGAAAUGCUUAGAUAUUGCGCAGAACUCCGAUUGCGAAGGCAGCAUACCGGCGGCGAUCUGACGCUGAGGCACGAAAGCGUGGGUAUCGAACAGG